AGAGUUUGAUCAUGGCUCAGGACGAACGCUGGCGGCGCGCUUAACACAUGCAAGUCGAGCGAGAACCAGGCCUUCGGGCCUGGGGACAGCGGCGAACGGGUGAGUAACACGUGGGUAAUCAACCCUCGGUACUGGGAUAGCCCGGGGAAACCCGGAUUAAUACCGGAUGGCCCUUUGGAUCCUCGGAUCUGAAGGAAAAGGUAGCUUCGGCCUCCGACCGAGGACGAGCCCGCGGCGGAUUAGCUUGUUGGUGGGGUAACGGCCUACCAAGGCGGCGAUCCGUAGCUGGUCUGAGAGGACGAUCAGCCACACUGGGACUGAGACACGGCCCAGACUCCUACGGGAGGCAGCAGUGGGGAAUCUUGCGCUAAUGCGGGAAACCGUGACGCAGCGACGCCGCGUGAGGGAAGAAGGCCUUCGGGUUGUAAACCUCUUUCAGGAGGGACGAAGCUACUCGGGUUAAUAGCCCAGAGGGUGACGGUACCUCCAGAAGAAGCCCCGGCUAACUACGUGCCAGCAGCCGCGGUAAUACGUAGGGGGCAAGCGUUGUCCGGAUUUAUUGGGCGUAAAGAGCGUGUAGGCGGCUUUACAGGUCCGUUGUGAAAACUCGAGGCUCAACCUCGAGACGCCGGUGGAAACCGUAAGGCUAGAGUCCGGAAGAGGAGAGCGGAAUUCCUGGUGUAGCGGUGAAAUGCGCAGAUAUCAGGAGGAACACCCGUGGCGAAAGCGGCUCUCUGGGACGGUACUGACGCUGAGACGCGAAAGCGUGGGGAGCAAACAGGAUUAGAUACCCUAGUAGUCC
rnacentral:rRNA from 1 species